CUUUAGGAAUAUGAGGAGCGAGCUAUGUUGUUGUCAGUGGCUACAUCAUUUCGACCAGUGAUAUGGUUAAUCUUUGCGAUGUGGACCAAUGGCAUGAUCUGUACCUAAGGUUGGAGUUGCUGAAUUAGGUAAGAAAAAAAUGAGAACCAUUUUCUUCUUUUUCACUUCUUUAGGGAUAUGAGGAGAGAGUCUUACAGCUCUAUUGUUAAUCAGCUACUUCCUUUUUUGGAUGAUUAAUUAUUUGCAUGAAGGUUCAGAGAAUGGCCUCUAUUGCCUUACAGUCCAACUGAACACGUGAGAAAUUACUGAUGCGCAUGGAUGACAGCUUUCCCACGACGAAGCAAAAUUGCAGGACCUAUUAGGAUGCAUACCUGAAGGAGUGCAUCUACCGGCUCAGCUGAAAAUCGAUCUCUAUUUGGU